GGGUCGCCUCCAGGAACUGCUUCUGUUCCUUGUGUUCGCGGUUCGUUUUUCUUCUGAAAAGAAAGCCUGUGUUUCAACACGGGUGCUUGGUCUCCACGUGGCAAAGCAGCUCUGUCACCACGCAGUGCACAGGGCAGGCUUGCAGAGCACGAGUGACCCCCGAUGUCCUUUAACGCCGCCUUCUUCCUGCUGCCUCUCAGGGUCUUCGGUCUCGGCACCGGGUCCCUCCCCCUUUCCAUGCAGCUCUGCAGUGACGCUGGUUUGGGGCUCGUUUGGGCUGAAGUUAGCUGUGGGUUUCCCAAACUGACUGAGAUGAGUGCUCGGUGCGGGCAGAGGCGCCGACGGGAGAGGUAAAAAGCCGUAGGCGGCGGCACAGGGACUAAAACGAGCGUCACCACCAGACGCAGCCCGCAGCUGAGGAGCUCGGGCUCACCCCGCUCUGAACCCCGGGUAGAGGCUCAGGUCCGGGAGCAGUUGGUUUGUUCCGGUCUCCGCAGUCAGAACUCUGGGCCUCUGCUCCUCUGUACCUGCAGGGGCGCCCAUGCCCCGUCGCCCCGUCGCCGCCUCCGUCAGAUCAUCGGGCCCUGGGUUCUCAGGAGGAGCGGAGUCCUCAGCCCUCGCAGGCAGCCCCACUGCGGACCCGGCCACAGACAGGCGCUGGGCCCUUCCUGCCUGGUCUCCAUAACCCUGUUACUCGGGACUUACCCGGUCACUUCCGGGGAGAGGAGGGCUCACGGGUAGCAGGGUACAUGAAAACACUGUGCAGUUUUCAGGGGCACCUGCCCCCCAGUGCAGGAAGAGCCCCUCUCCCAGGCCCUCAGACAGCCCAGAUGGGAGAGGGCGCGGCAUCUCCACUCACCUUCCUUGCAGUCACUCGUUUCAUCUAAGAAGAAAGAGGGGAGAGAGGAAGAGGAGGAAGAAGAAAAGUCACCAGUGAAUCCUGAAUUGGAAGGAGACCCAACUGCCCCGAACACCCAGCUCCCCACAGCAGCAGGAGGAGCUCACGUCUCACUGAGGAGCAGCCGCCAGCCGGAGUGCACGUGGAAAAGAGGAGACAGCAGGAUAACCGUCAGUGCCCGGCCCAGAGCUGUGGAUGCCCUAACUCCACGGUGCCCUGCGGGGUGAGACAGGGUUUGGGACAGUGCAGCGAACAGAGCCCGAGGCGUCUCCGGCCUCCCGGCCCAGGUCCACCCACCCUGGGCCCAGGCAUCGUGGGACACUCAGCUGGGAUCCGGAAGCUCAGAUUUCGGGGUUCUGGGGUUGGGGUGCUCGACUUGUAAAGCCUAAGCAAAUAUCCCAACUUCUGAAAAGAAGUCUGAGACCUGAGACCUGUCUGGGGCCAAGCAUUUCUGACAAGGAAAUGCAACCUGCUGGGGACUCAGAGCCUGGGCGGCCCUGGGGAAGCAGCCAGUUCGGCGCCUUGGGGAGCCUGAGACCGGGAGGCCGAGGUGCGGGGGGGCCAGCACAUUCAGUGCUCUUGCUGGAGCCCACAAACCACUUCUGACUCCCAGCUGCUAAGUGAUACACUGUUUACCCAAAUAGAC
rnacentral:lncRNA from 1 species